GAUAGUAGCAAAUAAUCAUUCGAGAACUUUGAAGGCCGAAGUGGAGAAGGGUUCCAUGUGAACAGCAGUUAAACAUGGGUCAGUCAGUCCUGAGAGAUGGGUGAGUGCCGUUCCGAAGGGAUGGGCGAUGGCCUCCGUUGCCCUCGGCCGAUUGAAGGGGAGUCGGGUUCAGAUCCCCAAAUCCAGAGUGGCGGAGAUGGGCGCCGCGAGGCGUCCAGUGCGGUAACGCGACCGAUCCCGGAGAAGCCCCGGGGAGAGUUCUCUUUUCUUUGUGAAGGGCAGGGCGCCCUGGAAUGGGUUCGCCCUGAGAGAGGGGCACGUGCCUUGGAAAGCGUCAUGGUUCCGGCGGCAUCCGGUGAGCUCUCGCUGGCCCUUGAAAAUCCGGGGGAGAGCUUGUAAAUCUCCGGGCCGUACCCAUAUCCGCAGCAGGUCUCCAAGGUGAACAGCCUCUGGCA
rfam:Mus musculus chromosome 11, GRC primary reference assembly.